GGGAAUGGUCGGGAUAGCUCA
rnacentral:tRNA from 1 species